AGCUCAAUGGCAGAGCACUUGCCUAGCAAGCAUGAGCCCCUGGAUUCAAUUCCCAG
rnacentral:tRNA from 1 species